UACAGAGGGUGCGAGCGUUGUCCGGAAUCACUGGGCGUAAAGGGCGCGUAGGUGGCGACCCAAGUCGAUGGUGAAAGCUCGCCGCUCAACGGCGAGUCGGCCACCGAUACUGGGUUGCUGGAGCACUGUAGAGGCAGAUGGAAUUCCGGGUGUAGCGGUGGAAUGCGUAGAGAUCCGGAAGAACACCGGUGGCGAAGGCGGUCUGCUGGGCAGUUGCUGACACUGAGACGCGAAAGCGUGGGGAGCAAACAGGG
rnacentral:rRNA from 1 species